UUUAAGCACCCAUUCUAAUUAAAUAGUUAAACACCACUAAAAUUAAAAUUACUAGAGCUGUGUGUUCCCCGGCCAAUUCUCAUCGCCGACAAGAGGAGAUGGACGAAGAGACAUGAGUGAAGACGACGCCAAUUCAUCAUCCUCAUAUCCAUUAUCGUCUCCUUCCUCUCCUUCUAUUUCUUCUCGUCUUACCACUCCAGAUUGAUCAUUCGCCGGAUCUGAAACUCGAUUGAAUCCGGUGACACUGAGACCGCCAUCGACAUCCUUCGCUCCCAAGAUCCUUUCGUCCUCAAUGAUCAUUGUAUUCUAUUUCGGCUCCAGAAACAGGUGUGCGUGUUAAUCUCAUCAACCUAUGAAGAUCUACCUUUGGGCUUUAGCCCGUCUCUGUUCAGCUCCCUUGAGCGUUACUUACCCGAGCAACUUCUCAAUUCCACUCGAAUCGAUAAAGCUAGUUUCAUGAGAGACCUUCUUCUCCAAUACUCCCUUGACACUGAGCGAGUUCGGCGUCUACAUGGAGAGAACUAUUCUCUUCACCCUACAAGUUUCUUUGUUCCUUCGUUUCAUAAAGCUUUUACUCAGAAGUCGGAGCAAAGUUUCAGAAACAUGAUGGUUGAGUCCUCUCCUGGGAUUUUCACUUUUGAAAUGUUUCAAGCCACAGGGAAAUGCUACUAGCAGAGAAAUUUAUUGAGCUGCUGACAUAAGGAACACAUGAGGCUUGCUUUUGUUCCAUGUGCUCUUGAUGCUAACUAGAAGAUUAAUUCUGACAUUGCCUGGUUAAACAUACUAGCAAAUUGUUCUUCCAACCCAAUGUAUUCGAAGAUUUUCAUGCCAUGGGCGGAGCUGAAUGCAUCUUUUUCUUCUUGUAUCACAUCCUUCAGAUGUGUCCUGUAACAAAUCUUCAAUUGUUCACUAAAAGGACGUGUAUAGAUAGUACUUUUUUGCAUAUUGGUUUAAUAGGAAGGUUAUAAGCCGGUUUGUUAUAACUGAGGAUUAACUACUAAUUUGGCUGAUUUGCAAAUAAUGAGGUACGUACCAAGUUUUGAAAAAGACUUGACAUGAGAGAACCUGAGUCGUCACCACGGUUUAAGAAAAACGUGCAAACUGGUUCAGCUGCGUAUACCCUUUGGGACUUUCGGAUUCGAUCGUUUUAUCCGGUCUCAACUAUGUAUACGACACUUCAAUAUCGAGUGGCUGGCGAGUAACCGUAACAUCCGGUCCAGCAACAUUGGCGCCUCCGGGUUGGUGGGCUUGGUAGGGAGAGCAAUAGCUAUCUCGGAAGGCGAGAGCCAUACGUUGUCGUCAACGGCAACAAUUCUGUCGAGGACGCCAAGCUCCAAGGCAGCUUUGAAAACCAUGGGCAAAGCCAAUGAGUUCGUGAUCCUCAACGCUUGAAAGCCCAUCAUUUCUUCGUCAACUUGUUCUUGUUCUUUGGUUGGACCCGGUUUUGGGUAAGUGGUUAAGGGCUCUUGAAGAGGGUUUUCCAUUGCUGUUGUUGGUUGGAAAUAAAAUUGAAGAAGGCGGAGAUGGGAAGAUAGGAUGGUUAACAGUUAGACUUAUUGCACCAUUUUAUAGGGAGAUAUCUCAAAACCAAGUGUACCGACUUUUUGAUUUGGUGACCCUGACCCAUGUACGUAUGAGUACCGAUUUUUGCCUAAUAUUUUUAUUUUCAAGAAACAUUAUCUGAUA